rnacentral:rRNA from 1 species
CCUACGGGAGGCAGCAGUGAGGAAUAUUGGUCAAUGGACGAGAGUCUGAACCAGCCAAGUAGCGUGAAGGAUGACUGCCCUAUGGGUUGUAAACUUCUUUUAUAUGGGAAUAAAAUGUUCCACGUGUGGGAUUUUGUAUGUACCAUAUGAAUAAGGAUCGGCUAACUCCGUGCCAGCAGCCGCGGUAAUACGGAGGAUCCGAGCGUUAUCCGGAUUUAUUGGGUUUAAAGGGAGCGUAGGUGGAUUGUUAAGUCAGUUGUGAAAGUUUGCGGCUCAACCGUAAAAUUGCAGUUGAAACUGGCAGUCUUGAGUACAGUAGAGGUGGGCGGAAUGCGUGGUGGAGCGGUGAAAUGCUUAGAUAUCACGAAGAACUCCGAGUGCGAAGGCAGUUCACUGGACUGCAACUGACACUGAGGCUCGAAAGUGUGGGUAUCAAACAGGAUUAGAUACCCGGGUAGUC